rnacentral:rRNA from 1 species
AUUGAACGCUGGCGGCAUGCCUUACACAUGCAAGUCGAACGGUAACAGGUCUUCGGAUGCUGACGAGUGGCGAACGGGUGAGUAAUACAUCGGAACGUGCCUAGUAGUGGGGGAUAACUACUCGAAAGAGUGGCUAAUACCGCAUGAGAUCUACGGAUGAAAGCAGGGGAUCGCAAGACCUUGUGCUACUAGAGCGGCCGAUGGCAGAUUGGGUAGUUGGUGGGAUAAAAGCUUACCAAGCCGACGAUCUGUAGCUGGUCUGAGAGGACGAACAGCCACAGUGGGACUGGGAGACGGCCCAGACUCCUACGGGAGGCAGCAGUGGGGAAUUUUGGACAAUGGGCGCAGGCCUGAUCCAGCAAUGCCGCGUGCAGGAUGAAGGCCUUCGGGUUGUAAACUGCUUUUGUACGGAACGAAAAGCCCUGGGUUAAUACCCUGGGGUCAUGACGGUACCGUAAGAAUAAGCACCGGCUAACUACGUGCCAGCCGCCGCCGUAA